rnacentral:rRNA from 1 species
AUUGAACGCUGGCGGCAGGCGUAACACAUGCAAGUCGAGCGGAGUGAUGGUGCUUGCACUAUCACUUAGCGGCGGACGGGUGAGUAAUGCUUAGGAAUCUGCCUAUUAGUGGGGGACAACAUCUCGAAAGGGACGCUAAUACCGCAUACGUCCUACGGGAGAAAGCCGGGGCUCACUUGUGACCUUGCGCUAAUACAGGAGCCUAGGUCGGACUAGCUAGGUGGUGGGGUAAAGGCCUACCAAGGCGACGAUCUGUAGCGGGUCUGAGAGGAUGAUCCGCCACACUGGGACUGAGACACGGCCCAGACUCCUACGGGAGGCAGGAGUGGGGAAUAUUGGACAAUGGGGGGAACCCUGAUCCAGCCAUGCCGCGUGUGUGAAGAAGGCCUUAUGGUUGUAAAGCACUUUAAGCGAGGAGGAGGCUCUUUUGGUUAAUACCCAAGAUGAGUGGACGUUACUCGCAGAUUAAGCACCGGCUAACUCUGUGCCAGCCGCCGCCGUAA